rfam:Toxocara canis scaffold455, whole genome shotgun sequence.
GCGGUAGUAGCUCAGUGGUAGAGCCCCGCCUCGCACGCGGGGAGACCUGGGUUCGUUUCCCGGCUGCUUCC